CUACGGGUCGCAGCAGUGGGGAAUAUUGGACAAUGGGCGCAAGCCUGAUCCAGCAAUGCCGCGUGAGUGAAGACGGCCUUAGGGUUGUAAAACUCUUUCGCUAGGGAAGAUAAUGACUGUACCUAGUAAAGAAGUCCCGGCUAACUCCGUGCCAGCAGCCGCGGUAAUACGGAGGGGACUAGCGUUGUUCGGAAUUACUGGGCGUAAAGAGUUCGUAGGCGGACUGACAAGUUAGAGGUGAAAUCCCAGGGCUCAACCCUGGAACUGCCUUUAAACUGUCAGUCUAGAGACCGGAAGAGGUUAGGGGAAUACCUAGUGUAGAGGUGAUAUUCGUAGAUAUUAGGUGGAACACCAGUGGCGAAGGCGCCUAACUGGUCCGGUACUGACGCUGAGGAACGAAAGCGUGGGGAGCAAACAGGAUUAGAUACCCCGGUAGUC
rnacentral:rRNA from 1 species